GAGAGCAGGAACCUGAGAGGUUUGCAAAUCUGGUGCCUUUUUGCCCUUAUCUUGGCGUUGGGGAAGGCCAUUCUGCAACAUGAGGCUUUUGCCAACUAUGAAAGAGGAGAAUGAUUUCCCUAAGCCUUUUCUGCUUGAUGAAGAAGCUAAUGAGUUCAAACUGGUUAGUAUAUCUUCCUACCUGAAGAAAAUCUGGGGGUUCCUCUUACAACAAUCCACAAUGUUGUGGCACAACAUAAAGAGUGGCAUCAAAAAUACUGUGUCCUGCAUCUUCCGCAAGUACCCAGUGAAUCUGCCUUUCAUCAAAAUUCUCAAAAUUUUCAUCCUGGUUUUUUUGUUAUUUUCAUUAGUUUCAAUUUUAUUAUUAUUGAAGGAAAAAGGAAUAGGUAAAAUAUAUCCAUUUGGGAACAAUGUGGCCACCAGUGUUGUCCUUGUUAAAGGAGAUAACACAGAAACCAUCCCUAAAGAUCUCACUGCGACAGUCCUGCUGGAAGCCAAGGAAUCCGAACCAUUUUGUGAGGCCAUGAAAAAUUGCUUCGACACUGCUGUCAAUAAAUUUGAAUCAGAGCCACGGAUUGUAAAGGAGAAUGCCAAGAUGAUCCUCAAGUGUAACGGAACGAGGAAGGAGUUUGUGUCAGGAAAAGGAGAAAACUAUAUUGAGGUGUUCUGGGUGGAUGGCCAAACAUAUUACACGGUCAAAGAAGCCAACUCACAAGUCUAUGCGGCAAGGCUGGGGCGCCAACCCCUCAACCUUGGCAGCCUCUUGAAAGUCUACCAACAACUGGUCUCCCUUGAAGGGUCAGAGGAGCUACAGCAGUGCCUAAAUAAGACGAUAGAGAAAUUUCCCAAGGAACCACAUGCUGUGCAGGACAAUGCCGUGUUGCAGGUCUCAUGCGGAGAAAGUAAUGUGACCUUCCAUUCGGGAGCUGGGGAGAAUGAAAUCAACGUAUACAAAGUUAUGCAGGGGGAGAUUGUGUUUAAUGUAAAAGCAAAAGGAUGGGCUUGGUGGGCCAGAUUAUUCAGAAGGAACUAAGGUAAGGAAUGAUAUCAAAGAAGAUGGUGUGGGUGGAAGCUUUGCGGUUCUGCUGUAGAGGCAAAUGAUUUAAAAGUAGUUCUUGACUUAUGACCACAAUUGAGCCCCAAAUUGCUGUCACUAAGCAAGACAGUUGUAAAAUGACUUUUGCCCCAUUUUACAAUCUUUCUUGACACAGUUAAGUGAAUCACUGCAGUUGUUACCAGUGUUUCCCCAAAAAUAAGACCUUGUUUUAUUUUCUUUCGACCUCUGAAAUAAGCGCUAGGCCUUAUUUUCGGGGAUGUCUUAAUUUCCCUCUACACUUUGUUGUGCUGUUGAGUGUGUGAGCGGCGGUACCGGUGCUGAUGAGCCUCAUGGCAUCCUGCCGCGAGCAGCUGCAACUGCGCAAUGAACCUCACAGGACGCCGUGAAGCUCGUCACACUGGUGCCACCACUCAGGGCAGGACGCUGCAAGAUUUGUUGUGCCAUUGCGCACACAAGCAGCACAACAAACCUUGCAGCAUCUGAGCAGCAGGAGACAUGACAAGCCUCACGACAGUUCCACCACUCGUGCAACAACACAACAAGCCUUGCGGUGUCCUGCCGCAAGUGGCAUGACAAGCCUUCCAAAAUUUGGUGGAGUGAAACAAACCAGGGUUUCUACUGCAACUGGGGCGAGGCUUAACUAGGCCUUGUUUUUGGGCUGGGGCUUAUUUUAGGUGCAGGUCGUAUUUGGGGGGAAACGUAGUAAUACAGUUGUUAACUAAAUCUGGCUUCCUCAUUGACUUUGCUUCUCAAAAGGUCACAAAGGGUGACCUUUGGGACAUUGCAACCAACAUAAAUGCCCGUCAGUUUCCAAGCACCCAAAUUGUGAUCACAUGACCACGGGGAUACUACAAAUCGUCAUGUGGAAAACAGUCACAAGUCACUUUUUUCACCGCCAUUGUAACUUUGAACGGUCACUAAAUGAGUGUAAGUCGAGGCCUACCUAUAUUAUAAACAGAAGCAUCUCAUUAUACUUUCCCACAUGCAGAGUUACUGAGAUCCUACCAGUGCACUGGGCCUAUCAAUCAUUUGGCUGCUGAUGGAUUAUUCCUUGUUUUACAUAAUCGGAUUGUUUGAUCAGCUCACAAUUCCAGAAUUGCUUCACUCAGUAAACAGCUGUAGAUAAAUAUAUAUAUAUAAAAUAAUGGUCAGAAUCUUGUAAGGCAAUCACUUUUAUCUCCAAUCCAGGAAUCCACCAAUGCUGUAUUUUCCAUAUUGUAUCUUCUGAUCUCUUUUUAAUGAUUGCUUAAAUAAAGUUUUCAAUUGUUACCGGGUGUCA
ensembl:lncRNA uncharacterized LOC113424982